GAUGAACGCUAGCGGCAGGCCUAACACAUGCAAGUCGAGGGGUAGAAGGAGCUUGCUCCUUUGAGACCGGCGCACGGGUGCGUAACGCGUAUGCAAUCUACCUUGUACAGGGGAAUAGCCCAGAGAAAUUUGGAUUAAUGCCCCAUAGUAUAUAACCUUCGCAUGUUGGUUAUAUUAAAGUUCCAACGGUACAAGAUGAGCAUGCGUCCCAUUAGUUAGUUGGUAAGGUAACGGCUUACCAAGACGAUGAUGGGUAGGGGUCCUGAGAGGGAGAUCCCCCACACUGGUACUGAGGCACGGACCAGACUCCUACGGGAGGCAGCAGUGAGGAAUAUUGGUCAAUGGUCGCAAGACUGAACCAGCCAUGCCGCGUGCAGGAAGACGGUCCUAUGGAUUGUAAACUGCUUUUAUACAGGAAGAAACCCUCCCACGUGUGGGAGCUUGACGGUACUGUAGGAAUAAGGAUCGGCUAACUCCGUG
rnacentral:rRNA from 1 species